AUACGUAGGUGACAAGCGUUAUCCGGAUUUACUGGGCGUAAAGGGCGUGUAGGCGGUCUUGCAAGUCAGAAGUGAAAUUCCCGGGCUUAACUUGGGCGCUGCUUCUGAAACUGCUUUACUUGAGUGCUGGAGAGGAUAGUGGAAUUCCUAGUGUAGCGGUAAAAUGCGCAGAUAUUAGGAGGAACACCGGUGGCGAAGGCGGCUAUCUGGACAGUAACUGACGCUGAGGCGCGAAAGCACGGGGAGCAAACAGGAUUAGAUACCCUGGUAGUCCGUGCCGUAAACGAUGAAUACUAGGUGUAGGGGGUAUCGACUCCCUCUGUGCCGCAGUUAACACAUUAAGUAUUCCACCUGGGGAGUACGACCGCAAGGUUGAAACUCAAAUGAAUUGACGGGG
rnacentral:rRNA from 1 species